rnacentral:lncRNA from 1 species
CAUUUCAUUGACAAGUCCUGCGGCGCAGCCAGUGUCAGGGGAGGUGAUGUGCUUGGGGCAGGCAGGAGCAGACUGCUUGUGAAGAGCCCUAGGAACUGCCGCAUGCAGCUAAAGAUUCAUUCUCAGGCAAUAGGAAACUAUUGGAGUAUCUCAGGCAGUGAUAGGCGUGAUUUGGUUCAGGUUUUCACAAGAUACUCAGCAUGCGGAGUGGCGGCUACGGGGAAAAUAUGACGGUGGUGGAGGCCAGGAGGCAGGGAGGCUGCUGGAAGGUUUUAACUCUUUCAAAAGGAAGAGUUGGAGCAAGAAAGAGUGACUCAGACCGGAAACCUUGCCAGUGGGGUGAGAUGUGUGGGGUCUGUGCCUUGUACACUAAUGCAAGUGCAGCAGUCAGCUCAGAGCGCAGCCAUUAAGGACUAUGAUGUGUGUUGGGCACUGUGCGACCCUAAAGGUGUCAUUUAUGUUGGCAAUUGUGUUAGUGGUGCUCCUACUCUAUACUCCGAAGAACCAUUCACAGUGGCCUACACCUAGAGACAGUGUGUUCUGGAUCAGACUGACACUCAAGCUGUCCUGAUUUUAUAAGCAGAACUGGGAGCUGGAAUAACCCAAGUCAGUGUUUUCUAAGAUAUAGUUUAUGGAUGAUUCAUAGUUAUUCUUUUGGACUGUAUGUUCUUGGAGGGCAGGACUUGUUUGUUUUGUCCUCUAUCGUUUCCCCUGUGAAAGCUGGAUGUUUGGCACAUAAUAAGAAAUCAAUAAUUACGUUUUGAGAUAAUGAGCUAAGUGCUAUCAAAUAGGUUUGAGAAACGUUACCUUAAACAAGCUUCCUAGUCCAGGACUCCUUAUGGACUUUGAUACACAAAUGUAAGGAGUGAAUCUGUGAGAAGAGGAAUACAGGAGACAAUGUUCUCUAACCUAGCUCAACACCUUAGUCACUGAGUGCUCACAGGCAUGUUGUUAAUCUACUGGGUCCAUCAUGGAAAUGUAUUUCUUGUUGAUCAUGGUCAAGAAAACUUAAAAUUCCCAUUUGUGGAAAGAAAGUCCAUGAGUUUUUGUUGCUGAAUUUCUAGAGCUUCCUUGUCUCUUGCUCUUUGGACACCUGGCUAUUUGACCCCUACUUCAUUCUGUAAGCUCUCUAGUAUCCUUUCACUGUACCCCCCUGUCUUGCUUCAAUUAAUCUUACUUUGUUGCAACUGUGUCGAUUACACUUCUCCAUGUAAGUGAUUCCAUGCUUCUAUCUGGUCCUCCAUUUGUCAGGAAUCUUUUAACUGCUGGUCACAGAAACCACUCAAACCAGCUUGGGUACAAAAAGACAAUUUACUGGUUUUGUAAUUAAAAAGUCUGUCAUUUCCUGAAGCUAAAUCAUCACAUUUCUGGUUCUUGUUUCAUCUCUCUGACAUCUAUCUUCGCAUGGAA